ACAACAACAAAAGAAUGAAUGGGCGAAAACUAAACAAGGAGUAGAACUUACAUAUUUUUGCAGCAGGGAAGAUGUGCGUGCAUCCGUUCAUUUCAUUGGCUUUCAUUUCCAUAUCUCUCUUUCUUUUCUCUCUCUCUCUCUCUCUCUCCCUUUGUGU
rnacentral:ribozyme from 12 species